rnacentral:sRNA from 1 species
UGCUGUUGCUGCCGCUGACGGGCAAGUUGUGGUGGAUGGAGCGGGUGGAGAAGGAGAGGCGGUUCAAGGGGGGAGGAGGCCGAUUAAGAAGUGGUUAGGUAUAUGGUAAGAGGGCUAGUUAGCGUCGUCAAUACACGGGAUGAUUGUUGCAUAAAUUGACUGGGCUUGAUAUAUGUGUGUAGAUAAAUUUCACAUUUUUGUUUUUGGCCCAGUGUGGAGGGGAACUGUAUAUUCUACGUUUAUCUGGUGUCUGCGGCCUUAUCUUGUUUUUAUUAUACCAUUAUAUAUACAUACACGAUUGUGUCGUGGUAUGGUAGUUGUGAAUAUAGAUCAUUGGGAUAUGGUGUAUGGUG